UACGAAGGGUGCAAGCGUUACUCGGAAUUACUGGGCGUAAAGCGUGCGUAGGCGGUUUGUUAAGUCCGCUGUGAAAGCCCUGGGCUCAACCUGGGAAUUGCAGUGGAUACUGGCAAGCUAGAGUGCGGUAGAGGAAGGUGGAAUUCCAGGUGUAGCGGUGAAAUGCGUAGAGAUCUGGAGGAACACCGAUGGCGAAGGCAGCCUUCUGGGCCAACACUGACGCUCAUGCACGAAAGCGUGGGGAGCAAACAGG
rnacentral:rRNA from 1 species